rnacentral:rRNA from 1 species
AGUGAACGCUGGCGGUAGGCCUAACACAUGCAAGUCGAACGGCAGCACAGUAAGAGCUUGCUCUUACGGGUGGCGAGUGGCGGACGGGUGAGGAAUACAUCGGAAUCUACUUUUUCGUGGGGGAUAACGUAGGGAAACUUACGCUAAUACCGCAUACGACCUACGGGUGAAAGCAGGGGAUCUUCGGACCUUGCGCGAUUGAAUGAGCCGAUGUCGGAUUAGCUAGUUGGCGGGGUAAAGGCCCACCAAGGCGACGAUCCGUAGCUGGUCUGAGAGGAUGGUCGGCCACACUGGAACUGAGACACGGUCCAGACUCCUACGGGAGGCAGCAGUGGGGAAUAUUGGACAAUGGGCGCAAGCCUGAUCCAGCCAUACCGCGUGGGUGAAGAAGGCCUUCGGGUUGUAAAGCCCUUUUGUUGGGAAAGAAAAGCAGCAGGUUAAUACCCCGCUGUCCUGACGGUACCCAAAGAAUAAGCACCGGCUAACUUCGUG